AUGGCGUUGAACGGCGGCAGGUUCACGUUCUUGAAUCCACACGCACCACCAUUGUCGUCCGGCCCGGCGCCAUCGGGUGCGCCAUACCAGGUGGCCCUCGCGUCUAGCCAGCCGCCGGAGGAGCUGUUGGUGCUGCCGGAGCCGGAGCCGGAGCCUGGGCUGGGAGUAGCGGGCACAGGUGGAGGUGUAACGGGGACGGGGCUGGGGGUAGCGGGGGCACGUGUAGGUGUAGGUGUGGGGGCAGGUGCGGGUCCAGGGCAGCCGCAGCAGCCAUUGGCGGCGAGCAGGCAAAGGAAAGCGACCGCGACGGCGUCGGAGGAGGAGGAGGUCGCUGCCAUGGCUCGCUUGCUUGCUGGUCUAGCUGGUUACUGA
rnacentral:rRNA from 1 species